UGGGGCCUAUGGGACGCAGCAGUAGGGAAUUUUCGGCAAUGGGGGGAACCCUGACCGAGCAACGCCGCGUGAAGGAAGAAGGAAUUCGUUCUGUAAACUUCUGUUAUAAAGGAAGAAAGACGGAUGGAGGAAAUGACAUCCGAGUGACGGUACUUUAUGAGAAAGCCACGGCUAACUACGUGCCAACAGCCGCGGCAAUACGUAGGUGGCAAGCGUUAUCCGGAAUUAUUGGGCGUAAAGAGGGAGCAGGCGGCAGCAAAGGUCUGUGGUGAAAGACUGAAGCUUAACUUCAGUAAGCCAUAGAA
rnacentral:rRNA from 1 species